CGUUCUUCUGCUCUGUUGGUGACAGUUGAGUGGCUUACAUAUGCUGUGCUAAAGGCUUCUAGCUUGGCUAAGCUAAUGUGUGGAGAGGCUUUUCAGCAGGGCCAUAUGGUCACUGUCAACAACAGCAGAGUGAUCCCAUCUAGCUCAACUGGUAGACUGCCAUGGAUAAACCUAUGUUGGUCCGCCUGCCAUUGUUGGUGGAGGACCCUGGAGUCCCUGACGUGACACUUGAACAACCGCAACUUCCCCAUCUAUUGCCACGAGAAGACCAAUGUGUGGAGGAGUCAUCAAUCAGGUGGUCCAAUCAGAGGAGGGUAUCAGGGAUUUCAGACCUGAGGGGAUGGGUUGAGGCUCAAAUGCUAGCCCGCUUGGUCACCUAUGGCCUAUUGCUCAUUUAUGCCCGAUCAGUUAUAGAUAAGGUGUUGACGAUGGGAUAAACAGACUCAGUAAGAUUGUGUAUUUUACCACAGGUGGCAAUUAUUAC
ensembl:lncRNA